AACACAUACAGAUCUCAAGAGUGAUCUAGUUGAGAUGAAAACUCAUUCUUUAUUCGUACAGUUGUAACCAAUAAUGAACUAAGCUGCAUAAAAAAACUGUUAGAUGUUUGAUAUAAUUAAACUCUAGGUCUUAGAUCUAUUUUAUCUCUCUCUAUUGCACUAGUUCUGAACAGCAGCCAUCUUACUUAAACUUACUUUGUUUUCUUUUUCACAUCCUUG